UAUCAGCCUGAAGGCGCCCGAUCUCGUCUGAUCUCGGAACUAAGCAGGGUCGGCCUGGUUAGGAUCUUGGAUGGGAGACCACCGUGGGAAUCCCGGG
rnacentral:rRNA from 1 species